ACCGGGUCCUUGUGUAACCCUAUCCGUCUCGCGAGCCAAGAGCCCUGACUCGCGGCGUCACAGGUAUCUUUUUCUUUCGGAUGGGACAGCAACCCCCCCCCUUUCUCUUUGUCUGUUUCUUUGCUUUUCGCGCGCGUUGGGUCCUUGGGCGCGUUUUUUUUCUGUCUUUUCUGGAGAGUCUUCAUCCAGCAACGACGGCGCCGGACGUGGGGUGACGGUGGAGGACCGUGGCCUAGCGGCGGCGCUGGUCUCUCACCAUCACAAGCCGAUUUGGGCUUUUCUUUUUUUGUAUAUUUUCUACGUGUUUCUUCAUAUUCUUCAUGUUGGAUUUGCUCUUCGUCCAUGUCGUCGUUUCUGCAUAUUGCCUUUCGUGCUAAUGUCCGCCAUUGUGUCGACCCUGCGCCUACCGCCUCGUCGGCGCGUGAGCGCGACCCUGCUGCGCGAGUGUGCGGCCUGGCCAUCGAGGGAGUACCUAGGGUGGAGGUCGGCGAGCAGGGACUCACGUGACCAAGGUCUACCCGGACGGGAGAACCGAGGGGAGGACAGCUGGUCCAGAGGGAGAGAGGGGGGGGUCACCGCUGUAGCGGCAUGCGGGCCAGAGAGGAUGGGCUGCCGCCAGCGAACACCUUGAGCGGACAUUUGACUCGCCACCCAGCAGUGCGUGCGGGUGGUUUGUCUUCCCUCGUUGUUUUGUUUUUUGUUUUUUUGUUUUUUUUCUUCUUUGCCUACUGUAACAUGCCUGUGCACAGGGCAACUCUUGUAUUGUGAAUUAUGUUUGAUGCUUGCCUCCUAUUAAUGUUAUUUUAUGUUUAGUUAAUAAACCUGUCUGUUUUGUAAACUU